rnacentral:rRNA from 2 species
UGUUUGAAAGAUGGCUUUGGCUAUCACUCUGGGAUGGACCUGCGGUGCAUUAGCUAGUUGGUAAGGUAACGGCUUACCAAGGCGAUGAUGCAUAGCCGAGUUGAGAGACUGAUCGGCCACAAUGGAACUGAGACACGGUCCAUACUCCUACGGGAGGCAGCAGUAGGGAAUCUUCCACAAUGGGCGCAAGCCUGAUGGAGCAACACCGCGUGAGUGAAGAAGGGUUUCGGCUCGUAAAGCUCUGUUGUUGGAGAAGAACGUGCGUGAGAGUAACUGUUCACGCAGUGACGGUAUCCAACCAGAAAGUCACGGCUAACUACGUGCCAGCAGCCGCGGUAAUACGUAGGUGGCAAGCGUUAUCCGGAUUUAUUGGGCGUAAAGCGAGCGCAGGCGGUUGCUUAGGUCUGAUGUGAAAGCCUUCGGCUUAACCGAAGAAGUGCA